GCAGACUGUAGAAGCCAACACCUUGGCUUCACUCACUCAGGCAGGGAAAAAAUCUUAUCAAGGAAAGGAGAGCUGAGUUCCUUCAGGACCAUGUCAUGAAAAGGACUUCUUCAUGAUCAUAUGCUUCUAGAGGACAAUGUGUGUCCAUUCCAGCAAUUCAAGUGAAUCUCCACCCCAUGCCAACAGGGUGGACUUCUUUGGUCAAGUUCCUCUUUGGGCACCAUCUACAGGAGCCUGCCUGCAAGCUUGUACUUGACUGAGGGGCUAUAAAGAUGGAACACAAACAAACACAGAAUAGUUUAAAAUGUGAAGGACUGGGGGCUCUCUUCUGCCAUCAAGAAGGAUCCCUGAAUGAAUGGCACACCUUGGCUUUAUUCACUCAGACACCGGUACAACCAAUUAGAGUUAUGCAGAAUUCAUCCAUCCCCACCAUCCAGGCUGAGAAGUAGCAUUGAUCUUUCCUCUCCAGGGAUCAAAAGUCUUAUCCUAAUUUAAAAGAGACAAAGGAAGAAUGCUCAUCUUCUGAUAGUUUUAUAAAGAGAAAAGAGAUUUUACCAAGUCAUCGGCACUAAGGAUUUGUUAUAGCAUCUAGAUGCCCCCACGGAGUCUCACGUGUGCACAGGUCUUGAUUAUUCUGUCCCAACAAUGAGAAAGUAACUAAGACAGGCGUAAUGCUAUAACCUGGCUAAAUAGACUCAGGCCAGAAAUUAAC